rnacentral:rRNA from 1 species
UACGUAGGGGGCAAGCGUUGUCCGGAAUCAUUGGGCGUAAAGCGCGUGUAGGCGGUUCAGUAAGUCUGCUGUGAAAGUCCAGGGCUCAACCCUGGGAUGCCGGUGGAUACUGCUGGACUAGAGUGCGGAAGAGGCGAGUGGAAUUCCCGGUGUAGUGGUGAAAUGCGUAGAUAUCGGGAGGAACACCAGUGGCGAAGGCGACUACCUGGCCUGUUCUUGACGCUGAGGCGCGAAAGCUAGGGGAGCAAACGGG